rnacentral:rRNA from 1 species
CCUACGGGUGGCAGCAGUGGGGAAUAUUGCGCAAUGGGCGAAAGCCUGACGCAGCGACGCCGCGUGAGGGAUGAAGGUCUUCGGAUCGUAAACCUCUGUCAGCAGGGAAGAACGGUCACUGUGCUAAUCAGCAGUGAAUUGACGGUACCUGCAAAGGAAGCACCGGCUAACUCCGUGCCAGCAGCCGCGGUAAUACGGAGGGUGCGAGCGUUAAUCGGAAUUGCUGGGCGUAAAGCGCUCGUAGGCGGUAUGUCAAGUCAAGGGUGAAAUCACCGCGCUCAACGUGGGAACUGCCUUUGAAACUGGCGAACGUGAGUGUGUGAGAGGAUAGCGGAAUGCCAGGUGUAGGAGUGA